UCUCGGCCUUUUGGCUAAGAUCAAAUGUAGCAAUUGUUCUUAUCAGUUUAACAUCUGAUAUGUCCUCUAUCCGAGGACAAUAUAUUAAAUGGAUUCUUGGAACUAGGAGUUUGAAUCAGAG
rnacentral:snRNA from 1 species